UUCAGCUCAGGUUAUGAUCUUGUAGUUUGUGAGUUCAAGCCCCACGACAGGCUCUGCUGACAGCUCAGAGCCCGGAGCCUGCUUCAGAUUCUGUCUGUCUCUCUCCCUGUCUCUGCCCCUCUGCCGCUUGUGCUGUCUCUCUCUUUCUCUUAAAUAUAAGUAAACAUUUUAAAAAAAUACCCAUUCCUCUCAGCACCUGUCAUAGCUAUAAUGUUAUUUAUUUGGAUAAUGACUUAAUUUAGGAUUUAAGUAAGUAUUUAUUUGAUGAUUGUCUCCCCCACUAGACUAAGUUUCAUUCUGGGUUUAUCUGAGCUGAACCUUAAAGAAAUGACAAGUCAUCUGCACAUUGGCUGGAAGUGCAGCCCAAAUUCUUUGGAACUACAGUGGGAUGUGUCCCCUCUCCUUGAAUCUGAGCCCUGAGGCCUCCUGACAAAUAGAAAAUAGCAGAAAUUACACUGUACUGUUUUUUAGGCCUAAGCCUUAAGGAAGUGGCCAUCUUCCAUUUCCUUUUUUUUGUUGUUAGUUUUUUUUUUAACAUUUAUUUAUUUUUGAGAGACAGAGAGCAAGCAGGGGAGGGGCAGAGAGAGAAGGAGACACAGAAUCUGAAGCAGACUCCAGGCUCUGAGCAAGAUGUCAGCACAUAGCCCGAAGCGGGGCUCAAACCCACAAACUGUGAGAUCAUGACCUGAGCCGACGUCGGACACUCAGCCGAGUGAGCCACCCAGGUGCCCCGGCCAUCUUCCAUUUCCUAUCACUUUGGAUGCUUUCUCUUAAACCUAAUCACCAUGCUAUGAGAAAGCCUAAAUAGCCCAUGGAGAGGGACAAGAAACUUGGUCCUCAGGCUCAAAUGCGUUCCCUGCUGAUAGCACUAAAUUUGCCAGUUAUAUCAAUGAGCCACCUCGGAAACAGAAUUUCUAGCCUCUCCUUUCCCAGUCCCCCCACCAAAAUCCCAUCUGAUACUACAUCAUGGAGCAGAGAUGAACUUUCACUAUUGAACCCCGCCUAAAUGGAAGAUUCCUGAGCAAAAUGAUUUUUUUUUUAAGCUGUAAAUUUUAGGUGGUUAGUUAUACAGCAACAGAAAAUGGGAACAUCAACCAGAAGGACAACCCUGUGCAGAAAGGCAACACUUUCCGGGGCAGGAUCACAGAGCUGUUUGUGAUGUCAUGCCAUCCUGAGUCUUACUGAGCCCUGGCCGGCCAGGAGCCUGGAGUGUUUGUUGACAUACAGAGGGGGAGUCUGUGGCAGUCCUCAACCAGAGGACAGUCUGUCAUGUUCAUGCUGUUCUCCUGAUCUCUCAGGGCCGUCCCUGGCACUUUGACAUGGUGGCACCUGGCUCCAAUGUGGCUACCAACAACCUGGUACCAGAGUAUGAGGACUCUUCAUCUUAGGUCUGCGUGACGAACACAAGAUAAAACAGGUG